rnacentral:lncRNA from 1 species
ACAGAUAUUAGUUAUCUAAUCUCGCUGCACGAACCACAAUUUUCACUAUCACAUACACGUGAAGAAUGCCUAGAAAUCAUAUUUUAUCGAUUUCGAGGCGAUAAUUUUAGGGUGUACCUACGUAUAUGCUUAUCACAGUUUCCCUGAACAAAAUAUUCAUUUAAAAUACUCGCCCAAACACUCUUAGUCACUCGUGAAUACUAAACGUGUUUGGACGUAACAAAGAAAAUAAUUCACAAUGUGUUUGUCGUGUGUAUGCGGCUUGCUGUGCAAGAUCAUCAGUUUCUUCAUAUCCCUACUGUUCAUAGUAGGCUUAAUACUGCUAAUAUUAUGGCUAACUGGAGUCAUCUUUGGGAAAUCAGACUCCGAUCAACAACAAGCAACCAUGGACUCUAUACAAAGACUUAUUAAAAGCGGGGCAGGGCAGUGAUGGAAGAAGUGUGGAAAGAAAAUAGUUUAAUUUAUAAUAUACCUAAGCUAAGAGGCAACAGGGAAUUUUUAGGAGGUGCUUCAUAAAAGUAUCAUUAUAAGCUUCUAUUUGGGGCCUAAUGCAGAGCUUUACGAGUCUACCUUAGAACCUCCUUGAAAAAAAAAAAUUAUCAAGACCGACGACUUAACGUGCUCAUCGGAGGCACAGGGUUCAACACUAUAGCUUGGAAAGUUCGUUGACCACACUCCCAUGAUAUGCGGGCGACGGGGGUAAGGACUACGCGGGUAUGAAGUCAUGCGCGCGGGGCAUUGCAAACCCCCUCCCGGCCCGCGCGGACCAUCGAGAGUGUUACAAACGAAUUUGCCAAGCUUUAUCUGGACUGAUAAAUUUAUCGGAAGUAAGAAAUUUCACUAUUUCAUAGCCUGCCUAAGACUCGAACAACAUUGAACCAACGAAGCAGUUACUUAAAGUAACAGCAGAGUGAUAAGGACUUAUAUUUAACUAGACAUCCUCAUGUGCAUUUAAAGUCAGCCAUUGACGGUCAAUUAUUCUCACGUUUCUGCAUCACAAACAUCAGCGAAGACGUUUCUAAGUCGAGCCGUCAUGCACGCAUUGACCAAUUCACGAUCAGUUAUAGUUGUGGGUGCUGCAGAAAAAACGUGAGAAUAAUUGAUCGUCAAUGGCGUGCAUAAUAGCAUGAAAUUCUGUAAUUUUGUUGCCUAGAUGACGUAACUAUAGUUAUUUAGUCAUAUCAACCAAAAAAACUAAAUUAUUUCGUCUGUUACGUGUUAUAACGGUACCGAUAAUAUGAAAAAUCGAUUUUGAUAGAUAGCACGUACAGUGAUUGAUAGUAAUCUUUCGAGCAUGUUUAAUGUUUAUAAAAUAUGGUCCGUUUUCCAUAUAUUUUUCCAUGUAUUGUGGAAAGCUGUUUUUCAAAACACUAUUCCAAAAAAAGCGUUUAUUCUUCUGUCACACUCUUCCAGCUUCAGCUAUUUUAAUUACCUUUUUUUUGUUAUUUGAGAGAGAGAUUCCUAAUGUAAUUUUUCAAUAUCCUACCUUCACCCAUUUUUUCACUAGACUUACAUUAUCAUUUUAUUUAUUAUCAAUAUCAACUUUAUGAUAUAAACAUUAUACAUUACUUAAUGAAGCACCUCCUUUCCCAUAUUUAAAAAAAAAAAGUAUCAAGAUCAUGACGAGUAGAUAAUUUAUUUGUACGAUAUACAGGAUGUCACGUAAAUAUUACAACAUACUUUACUGGUUGAUAGCUGACAUUAAGGCCUAUUAAAAUAACGCAUUUUAAAUAAUUAAAAUUAAUUCAAAUCAAAUCAAAU